AAGUCGUAACAAGGUUUCCGUAGGUGAACCUGCGGAAGGAUCAUUAUCAUAAACGUAUCCACGUAUAAACCAAUUUAUAAUGUGAAUUGUAAUGUUUUACAGCCUUUGAUAGUUAGAUGAUUGCUAUUUUUGUUCCUUCUAUUAUAUUGAUUAAGGGAACAUUAAUAGACUUGGGUUAACAUUUGUUAGCCCUAGCUUUAACUAUCGAAGUGUAAUUUUUUAUUAAUCAAUAUAUAUUAACCAAUUGAACCGAUUAACUUAAUUGUUAUUCAUAUUUCUUUUAUUGUGAACUGAAUUGUUCUUUACCCUAUCGUAACUGAUAGAGAAAGAAUUAUAUUUACGAAACAUAAAUACUAUGAACAACUCUUAGCAACGGAUAUCUUGGUUCUC
rnacentral:misc_RNA from 1 species